rnacentral:lncRNA from 1 species
AGGAAGGUUCUGAGAUACAGAAUGCCAAUGCGUUACAGCCCCUAUGGCUGAAAUACUAUUUUGUUUGAGGCAGCAUUGCCAGCAGAGAGAUACAUCUAACAAAAUUUGUACUCUCUUUUCUUCUCACAUGUUUUAAUCAUUGGGAAAGAUGAACAGAAGAUUUUUCCCUGCUUGGGUUGACGCGUUGAAAUGUGAGAAUUGGAGCUUUAUGUUGUUCAUGGUAGACAAUGAAAUCAAAAUGCCUGCUUCUUCUGUACUGCCUAAAAAUAUUCAUGCUUGAGCUAUCUUGAAAGCUUCCUCUGGUUGCAAUAUUAUAGUUUUUGUCAGGUACAUUGCUGCCUCUGUGUCUUUGCUUAAAUUAAGCCUGCUUUCUUUCUGUGGAACUUUUCUGUUUGAGAUGUCAUCUGAUGCUGCAAUUGUUAUCUUGACUGCUUUUCAGACCAUCAAUUGUUUUUACCCUAAAUAGAGUACCAUCCGCCUAAAAGCUUAGUGCUUGUUUUUGUGGUUGAACAUGUUUUUCAGAGUGCUUUUCUCUUGAAAAGUAUUAAAUUGAUUUUUUUAGAUGCUUUUCAUUCAGUCUUGAUGUCAAAAAUUUAAAAAAAAAAUCUAAAAAAAAAUUAUUUUGAUGUAUUUUCAAUUAAAAAGCACUCUACAUUGCUUUACCAAUGAACUAUGUUAGUGGGACAUGAGUAUGAUUUUAUGGGGUAUUUUUCAAGGCCUGUGAUCUUGCAGGUGCAAGGAGCUUACUACUACUAAGCCAUGCCUAUUGAUUUCCAACUCUAGAUUCAGUUUGUGAGCUUUUUGUCGUUUAAAUUGUGUUGGCUUGAUGUAUUUGUAUAUGAGAUAGCAUUACUCAAUGACUCGAGCAUUGGCAACGCAAACGAAUUCUUCCUGAGUUACCAACAAUCUAGAAUCUUAUCCGAAUGUAAAAUCCAAAUGGGUCUUGUGUUUAUUAAGAUGAUUAUAAAACUGAAAAUUAAGUUGCUGCCAUUACAUAUGAUGCAUAAAUGUUAGAUUUGUCAAUGGAUGAUAGAUACAACUUUGACCCACUUUGCCUAGUUACAAGACUCGGUCAGGUGGGCAAUGGAUGACAGGUGCCAUUCAUGACUUGCUUACUGAGUUGAUAAAACCUUGGCUGCUUCUGAACUUGCAG